UACGUAGGUGACGAGCGUUGUCCGGAUUUACUGGGCGUAAAGAGCGCGCAGGCGGUCGUGCAAGUCGAGUGUGAAAGCCCCCGGCUCAACUGGGGAGGGUCGCUCGAUACUGUUCGACUUGAAGGCGGGAGAGGGAUGCGGAAUUCCCGGUGUAGUGGUGAAAUGCGUAGAUAUCGGGAGGAACACCAGUGGCGAAGGCGGCAUCCUGGCCCGUUCUUGACGCUGAGGCGCGAAAGCUAGGGGAGCAAAC
rnacentral:rRNA from 1 species